UACGGAAGGUCCGGGCGUUAUCCGGAUUUAUUGGGUUUAAAGGGAGCGUAGGCCGCUUUGUAAGCGUGUUGUGAAAUUUGCCGGCUCAACCGGUAACUUGCAGCGCGAACUGCAGAGCUUGAGUGUGCGCAACGUUGGCGGAAUUCGUCGUGUAGCGGUGAGAUGCUUAGAUAUGGCGAAGAACUCCGAUUGCGAAGGCAGCUGACGGGAGCACUACUGACGCUGAAGCUCGAAAGUGCGGGUAUCGAACAGGAUUAGAUACCCUGGUAGUCCGCACGGUAAACGAUGGAUGCCCGCUGUUUGCACAUAGUUGCAAGCGGCCAAGCGAAAGCGUUAAGCAUCCCACCUGGGGAGUACGCCGGCAACGGUGAA
rnacentral:rRNA from 1 species